GCAUCAGACUACAGUUGCAAUCCCUUUCAGCUCCUUCAGCCCUUCCCCUAAUUUUUCCAUUGGGGUCCUGGGCUCAUUCUGGACAAAAAAUGGGGAAGAGACUAAAGGAAAGGCCAUCCAGAGACUGCCCUACCUUGGGAUCUAUCCCAUCUAAAAAUACCAAACCCUGACACUAUUGCUGAUGCCAAGAAAUAAAGCCACACUGUAAGGUUCCAGAUGGCCACACUUAUUUGGAGACAGCAUUUAACACAAUGCUACUUCUACCUCUAUGAGAACCUGGUGAAGAGGACACAGCCAGAGCUUUGCUCUAAAGGUUCCAAAUGCACAUCUAACUAACCAUCCAACUGGUCCCAUCAGCCAAUGUAUCUCUUUGUUACCUCAAGGGAGUUUGAUUUAGGUUUUCAUCAAUAUAGCUUCAUAUUUUCAAUGUU
rnacentral:lncRNA from 1 species